rnacentral:rRNA from 1 species
CCUACGGGAGGCAGCAGUGAGGAAUAUUGGACAAUGGACGAAAGUCUGAUCCAGCUAUGCCGCGUGCAGGAUGACGGCCCUAUGGGUUGUAAACUGCUUUUAUACAGGAAGAAAAACUCCGACGUGUCGGAACUUGACGGUACUGUAAGAAUAAGGAUCGGCUAACUCCGUGCCAGCAGCCGCGGUAAUACGGAGGAUCCAAGCGUUAUCCGGAAUCAUUGGGUUUAAAGGGUCCGUAGGCGGUUUUUUAAGUCAGAGGUGAAAUCCUGCAGCUCAACUGUAGAAUUGCCCUUGAUACUGAAAGACUUGAGU